GGGCAGCGGCGGGGCCCGGCGGGGGCUGCGGGGCCCGGGCCCGGGGGGAGGGCGGCGGGGGGAGCCCGCACCGCCCGGCCGCCAGCCCGCCACAGCCCCCAGCAACUUUUUGGAGAGCGAGCCAAGCGCGGAGCCCGUUCCCCCGGAGCGCGCCGCCCCGCCAGCUCCUACUCCAAAGAGAUGGCGAGAAAAAGAUUUGAACGUUUAAGUUCCACCACAGCUUUACUUCACAAAUGUGAAGGUUUAACUUGAAUUCUAUAGUUGGAACAUUGAUAGGCUUUUUUUGACACCUUUCCUCUUCCCAACCCUGAAAACCAGCCUCUAGCCACACAGCAAAAGGGAUCUGCAAAGGCAACACACCAGAACAAUUUCUCCACACCUACAAGCCAAACUCCUGUCAGAAGUUAUACUCCACAAGCACCUCCAACCGGGUGAGCUCCAUCCCAGUGUUUUCAACCUUCACCUUUACACAGUGAGCUGCUACUAUGGCAGCUCUUCCUCCCGAAAUUAAAGCCAAGACAGGCCCCAUCUGUAUCAGAAAAAUACUAGAAGAAAUGCAAAGAGAGGCUGCACUUCUGCAUUGACAGAUGUUCAUCUGGUUGUUAGCCCCAGCCACGUUUCACUGUUCACGUUUCAGCCACCCACCAAAUUCAUUCUUUGUAAGCGAUAGCAGUAGAGCCACCUCCAUGGCCAGUGUCACUGCAAUCCUUCAGAGCACUCGGCGUAACACAGCAAAGCCAUCCCAUUACUACUGAACAAGAACCCUCCUGGCCUGGGAAGGGGUCACGUUUCUGAGGACAAUGGGUAAAAACAAUAGCCUCUUUCUUCUGUCCCUCUCCCCCCGGCUUCCCCACUUCUGCUCCCAAGCCACCCAGUUCUCAUGGCACAUACUCCUGGCAGACUUUACACCACACUGGACUCUGCAGUGUGGUGUGGUCCUUCUCCCCAGAAACUCUCCCCUUGCCCACCCCACUUUCCCCCUCUCCAUCAGAGCUCAGGACCUCCCGGAGCUCUGGGCAAGGGGCAGAGCUGCAGGGCAGAACAGACCCAGCAGAGUUAAUUAAAAGAAGCAGGGAGCUUCACCAUGGAGUCAAGUCCUGGGAAGUCUGAGUCAGCACCAGCCAGCUACGCACACCGGAAUGCACUGAGCCCUACAAUGCUACUAUUUUAAAUACUAAUUAGAAGUUACUUCAGAUUUUUUCCUAGACACCCUAGAAGUUAAUUGGAUAACCUGGGGUGAUCUUACUUAACCCAGGUUAAAUAUGAGUACUAAAAGCAUGCUGUAACUCUGAGAAGUGCAUGGGGAUUUUUAAAAGGACAGAACAGUUGAUCAACUAACUCAGUUUUAAUAAAAGUGACACCUGAGUAUAUGGUCCUUUGGUAGAUCUCUACUUUCAGUAAAGCGUAAACCUACAUCUUUACCUCGAAAUAGGAAGUGAAACUUCCUCCUGAGUAAAACAAGCUCUGGGCCAACACUGGGUCCUAUAAAAGCGAUCAGAGAGAGAUGACAGAGGACUGAAGUUGGGGGGGGGGGGUUCGGAUUGCCGGGGAUAAGAACAGGAGGGGCAAAGCAGUAAAUUUUCAAUUAUUUGAGACUAUGCUGCAGAGUGCAUUCUUCAUUGCUGUGGCGGGCAGGGCAAGCUUCAAUUACAGCGGGAAAGAUUCAGGUCAGAAAAAGCUUUGUGCCAGAGGGAGCUAGUGACAGGCCGGAGCGGACUGCCGGGGCAGGGAGGGACCCUCCUGCUCUGCGCCGGCCAGGGGCCAGCGGACACCUCUGUGUGCAGGACAGGUCGCCAGUACGGCCUCGAGACCGGCCCAGCAGCUCUUGAGCUGUCCUCCCAGUAUUUAUUUCAUGACCUGCAUGACACUCCUGUGCCCAGGAACGUCCCCCCGUCUCGGGGCAGCACGAUGCAGCAGUUGCAGAGACCCCUGCGAUGCGCCCACCGCUCUCCAAAACGCUGUGCCCAGGGUGGGGGGCAGGCCCUGACCCGGCAGGGAGAGGGACGCGGCUUCGCUCAGAGGUAUCGCACACUGUGCCAUAAAGGGUCCAAGCGCUUUUCUUACGCCUUGUUUACUCCCCCAGCUGCUUAGGGGAUUAUUUCAGAGCAGCCUGUUCAGACUCGCUGUGCUGAUAUCCCAGUCACUGUCUCCCCAGGCUUGCUGUA